GGAAACUGGAAAACUUGAGUGCAGAAGAGGAAAGUGGAAUUCCAUGUGUAGCGGUGAAAUGCGCAGAGAUAUGGAGGAACACCAGUGGCGAAGGCGACUUUCUGGUCUGUAACUGACGCUGAUGUGCGAAAGCGUGGGGAUCAAACAGGAUUAGAUACCCUGGUAGUCCACGCCGUAAACGAUGAGUGCUAAGUGUUAGGGGGUUUCCGCCCCUUAGUGCUGCAGCUAACGCAUUAAGCACUCCGCCUGGGGAGUACGACCGCAAGGUUGAAACUCAAAGGAAUUGACGGGGACCCGCACAAGCGGUG
rnacentral:rRNA from 1 species